UAUUGUUUCUUGAUAUUAGUUAAGUUUCUUUUUUUAAGGUAGAAAAAACACCAUUACAUUUAAAUACAAAUUUAUGUUAAAUUUUAUCUCCAAGGCCUGUAAACAGUUCUUUCACGGUUUGAGUGCUGUGUGGAGCAUUGGAUAAAGCUUUAGUUUCUGAUAAAAAGCCGGCAAAUGGUUAAAAUUUUAUUAUUAAAUUUUUAUCAAAAAUUAGUCUUGCUAGAAGCUGGAAAAAUUGCUAGCUGGUAAUAAAACUCAAAAAACAUAAGAUAUUGGGACUCUUGAGAAAUAUGUUUUAUUAAAAAGUUUUUUACUUCUGAAGGUUAUAUUUUUGUUAAAAUGUGUAUUUUUAUGUAUCUGUCAUUCAUUAUCUUAUGUUUCUCGGCAGGUGAGCGGCACUGAUUCGCUUCCAGCAUUUGAAUACCAGCCCUUCAUCUUCUCUUCUGUCUUCUACCAGUUCCUCUUGUAAGUCAACAUCUUCCUCUGUAUCCACACCUCCAGCCUGAGUCAGAACUUUGUCUGAGUCUGCUGGAUAAUGCAAAUGGAAAAUGACAUUCUGGUAGAAUACGAGGGCGCGUAAGUUCAACCCUGACAGAAAACAAAGCAACUGAUGUGUAUAUGCUGUUAGAUUCUCUUUAAAUCUGCCGUUGCUGAAAGUCCUCUUGUUGUUGUGCAGAAGUUUGAAGAAAGGCGUAUCUCUGUGUGAUUUAUCCCUGCUGUGUGUUUGUGUGGUUACUGUUGCUGACAAUUUUAUAAAAUCUUUCAGUAAAGCAAAGAUUCUCUGAAAUAUGAACAAGAAAUUGGAAGUGAAGGGAAAAGAAAUGCAUGAAAUAAAUGACUGUAAAGUUUUUGGAAUUCUUUUUAUUUAAAAAUAAUAAUUAAAAUGAUAACGCAUAGUCCAACUGUUGCUUUUUGCAAUAAAAAUUAU